UAAAAGUCUUGAAACAGAGAACGCAUUGCUAAAUUAUCAAAGUACCCUCUCCCUCUAACUUUCCAGUCAUCAUCAGCAUUCGAUCCUAGGUAACCCAUUGCCAUCCAUCUUGUUAUUAGCUCAUCCACAUCAAUUCUGGAAUCUUUAGGAAAGACGGCACAAUACGAGAAGCAACGCUUCAAUGUUGGGGACAACUCGUUGUAACUGAGAAACAAAUGGCGGAAGAGGUCAUCUUCUACUACCUCCAACUUCCAGAUUUCACUAUUCAACACGCUCUCCCACUCUUCCAAUGUAUUCUUGAAACAUAAGAGACUUCCCAAAGUCUUUGCUGCAAGCGGCAAUCCAUUGCACUUCUUGGUUAUCUGCUUACCCGUGUUCUCAAAUUCUUCACAUUGAUCCUUGUUCUUACCACAAAGGGCAAUCCGACCUAACAACGACCAACAAUCUUCAUCAUUGAGAACUCCUAAACGAUGGAUCAUCUGAUCAUUCUUUAUAAACUCUCCCAUCAUCAUUAUUGCAACUCUUUCGUUUCUAGUUGUCACCAAAACUUUGCUUCCAUGUCCACCACUUUUGAUAGCGUUUUUCAGGGGUUUCCACUUGGUAUCGUCUUCUGUCCAAACAUCAUCCAGAACAAGAAGAAACUUUUUCCCUGAAAUAGACUCUAUUAGACGUUGUAGCAGCCCAUCCAAGUCCAUUGUAUUUGGUAAAGGCCCUCCUGCUUUCUCCACAAUCCUUUUGGCAAUCUCAACCUCAUCAAAAGGAUCCGAAACAGAUAUCCAAAUUCUUAACUCAAAACAAUUCAUUACUCGAUUAUCGUUAUAAGCUAGUUGAGCAAGAGUUGUCUUCCCAAGGCCACCCACACCCACUAUAGAUACAACGCGGAUGCCUCCUAUUAACCCUUCUUCGCUACUACCACCUUCACCCACAAGUUUGCUUACCAGAGCUUCUCUCUCUAAGUCUCGGCCAUAAACUUCCUCUUUGUCGACGAUAGAAGUAGUUUGACCUCGCCAAGAUUCACGAUCAGAUGGUUGUGACGUGAUCUCAUUAAAAUGAAACCGAUCUUUCUCCGCCAAAAUCAGAUCAAGCCGUUCUUUCACUUGUUUUAUCUUCAAGGCAAUUCCACGACGUACAGAAACUUUCUUGAAACAUAAAAACGAGCAAGGGAUGCAAAAGCGUACCGUGCACUUAGGAGGAACAACAUCAGCAUCAGCAUCAGCAGCAGCAACACCAUUUGACGAUUGUUCGAUCUGAAACUUGAGAAUGGAGUAGUUCCAUUCGUCCAACACGUCAUCCAUUUCGUAUGUCGUGUUUUCGAGCCUCGUCAGCCAAUCUUUGAUGCUCUUUUCCUUAUAACCCUUCUUCUCCGCAUCUUCCAACACGUUUCUGACUGUGUUCAGAUCGAUGGAAAGUUUGAGAACCUCCUUCUUAACUCCUCUCACCAAAUUUACUUCGUCUCGGAUCUUCUCUUCCACGAGAGCUGCAAUGCGCUCCAACACAACGGAAACGAUAGCAUCCGCCAUUAUCGCUCGCUAGCUCACACUACUUGUGUCUCUGAUUGCACUAUGUGAUUGGUAACAAGAUUGAGUGGAGAUGUAGCUAAUAGUUUGUCAAUUAUAUUCCAUUUUCUGCUUUUGCUUUAGCAUAAAGUGAAAGUUCCACUCUUACUCAAAAAAAAAAAAGAAAAAAAAAAGUGAAAGUUCCACAGCUGUAGGUGAGACAAUUGGUAUCACAUUUAUUUUACAGGUAAUCAAACUUUUAACGUCCAUUAGUCUUGAUAUUUCUUUUGUUUUAUUUUAUAUUCUAUAUAUUUCAUUAACUACAAAUAUUUAUAUUGUUCCAAAAUUAAUUUAUAACUUACAUAACCCAAAAUUGUGAAAAACUAAAGUAUUAAUAACCGAGUGCCGUAAAUAGAUUUAAAAAAACAAAACAUUAAACACAGAGAAAAGAUAGAAUAAACAAUACUUGGAUAUUAUUUUUUUCAAUUGAAAUAAAGUAUAUUAAACAAUACUUGGAUACUUACCACCCUGUGCAAUCUCGAAUUGCCAAAAACAAAACCCUAUAUUAAAAAUAUUAACAAAGACCCAUAUACAAAAAUUAUUCGCUACACUCCAUAUAUGGGAGUGGGUGUGCAUUUUUUUGAUCUAACAAGACCUAAAUACCCUCUAAUUAGAAAUAUUUUUAAAAUUACAGAUUCACCCCAAAGUUUCAGACCAAAGUAAAAUUUUCAAAAUUUUCAAUUCAGUCCUUUAUAUUUCCAAAAAAACCAUCUUCCCAGCCCCACGUCUUCAUUUCAUUGUGACUUUUUCCAGCAAAAAAAAAAAAAAACAGAAAUUAUUAAACACAUUCUUCCCUUUCACUUUUUCUGAUUCUCCACAAUCCGGUUUCCCAAUCUCUCUUAUUCAAUGUUUCAGAUUCGUGCACCCAAUUGAUGGAGAUUUCCGAGUAUUGGCAUCUUAGUAUAUUAAAUGUACAUUAUAAGGGGAAAGUAAAAUUUGCACCCCUGAACUAUAGGGUUUGUCGCAAACACCCCUAAACUACAAAACGUAACAAAAUGAACCCCUGACUUUAACAGUCAAACUUUAGAUUUUUUACACCUUUAAUAAUAAUGAGUAUUUACAUAUUAACCCUCAUUAUGUUAUGCUGCAAUCUGACGUGGCAUCAUCACCAUGGAUAAUAUUUCCCUCUCAAUAGAAACUAGACUCCUUUUUUUCUCUUUUUCUUCUUUGAGAAAACCAAAUCCCUCUUUUAAAAAACUAGCCCGCGCGCCUAAAAAGUGGAAUUCACGGUGCAAUUCAAAAAUCAGAAAAUAUCAACGACCGCUCAAGUCUUUGUUAAACCAACAGUCUUCCGACUUCGAAACUCUUGAUUUUUCAAACCCAUUUGCAAUAUUUUUUCUUGGAUCAUACUCGGCGUGUCUUCUUUCUCGAUAUCUGUGAGAGGUAUGGCUCUUCCGCUGUGUUUUUUCUGCGUUUAAGAAUUUCCUGUGGCGUUUAUGCAUUCGUGAUGAUGAUGAUUUCUCUAUUUUCUGUUUAUGGGUUUCAGUAAUAUAACGAUGCUUUGUUUGUGGGUUUCAUAAAUAUAUCGACAUUUGAUUCUUUAGUUAUCAAUGCAAUUUUUUUGUUUUUAUGUUUUUGAAUUUGUUUGUUGAGUCAUGUACGAUUUGGUCCGGUAAAUAACCGAAUCACAUGAAUUUUAUGUAAAAAUAUUUAAAAGGAGGGGUGGCUGUAAUUACCCAAACAAUAAGUGGUUUUUCGUAAUUUGACCAUACCUAACGGAUCAAUACCCUUUAAAUCAAAAACUUUAAAAAUUAUAGAUUCACCCCAAAAAUUUUGUUUGUCCCAAAAUGAAGUUUCCGAAAUUUUCAAUUCAGUCCCUGAUAGUUUAUGUUUUAAACAAAUAAAAUAUAUACUAAAUGUAUGGCUUCUUUCACGAGUCUCUACUUUGCCACGCUUUAUUCAUAAUACUGGCCAUCACAACUUCUUCUCCGGCAGCCACCACGGCAGAGGAAUUCAAGGUUGGCGGCAGCCUGCCACCAACGACACUGAAAUGUACACCCGGUGGGCCUCAACCAUGAGAUUCCACGUCGGAGAUUCUCUUUGCAAGUAUUGUUCAAUUCAUUUAACUUAUUUUUAGUCUAAUUAAUUGAUCUUCAUUAAUUAAUAUUUUAAUGUAAUAAUUAUUCCCUUUUUGAGAAGUCAGGGAAAAGGGUUUUAGAGGUUUGAAUCCGAUCGUCGAUGCGGCGGCGGAAGCUUGGGAAAGAUGAUAGGUUGUUGAGCGGUGGGUGGGUGGGUUGUUCCUGUGAAGACGAUGAUGACUUUCUUUAUAUUAGUAUCUGUAACUUUUUUAAAUUUCAAUUUGGUCCCUUAGUUUUAAAAAUUACAUAUUUAUGGACUGGGCUUUUCUUUUUUGCAAGAACCUCACCAGGGUAUUUUUGUCUUUUUGCAGCCAGUCAAUGGGAAAAAAAAUAAAUGGGUUGAGUGUGCCAUCUUAACUCUAUAGUAACAGUAGAAAUAGAAGCAUGAAAUAAAAGGUAAUAAUUGAAGUUACAGGCAGAGGCAGAAGAAUUGAUAUUAAAGUAGUAGAAAAUGAAAAUGAAAAUGAAAAUGAAAGUUGAAUAGAAUAAAAGUAAUAACAUCAAUUAAUAAUUGAAGCGAAGGCGUGGAUUGAUGUGGCGGGAAAUGGAUUUCAAACCAUCGCCGUGAACGUAAAAUUGUUUCAGCUGUGUUGAACCACUAAUAUUCAACUCCUCCAAUGACCACAACACCUUUCGCAGGAGGCGUUGCGGCAGCUCCGUCAAUCCAUCGCAGCUACCGAUCUGCAACUUCGUCAGGCAAGGCAUUAUUGAAUAUUCUUCUUCUUCUUCUUGGGCCGUUGUAAUGUCCUCCCACUUGUUCCAAUUUUGACAGCUCCAAAAUCUCAGUGUUUUUAACUUGGGAAAGCCACCAUCAAUAAUAUUUGUACCCACCACCGACGAAGACGAACACGAAGAUGUUGUUGUUGCUGUUGUUGCUAUUCCCAGGAAUUCCUGUCCAACAUAUUCCAAUUCAUAUAAAUUUUGAAUCGAAAGAGUCUCCAGUAGCGGUAGUUUACCCAGCGGCGGCAGCGACGGAAGGCCUUUACAAUGGUAGAGCUCAACAUUUACGAGUUGGUUGAGGGGAGACGUGAUCCAUCGUGGAAGUUGAGAGCCGUCAUAGUGAUAAAUAAUCAGCUCUCGGAGGUGUGGAUAUGGUUUCAGAGCAUCUACCAGUUUGGAACCAAAAAUACACAACACCUUCAAUGAUGAUGAAACCUUUCGCAUGAGGCGUUGCGGCAGCUCCGUCAAUCCCUCGCAGAAACGCAUCGUCAACUCCGUGAGGCAAGGCAUUAUUGAGAUAUCAACAUUAUCUUCUUCUUCCAUCGUAAUGUCUUCCCACUUCGUCCAGUUGAUACAUUUCCAAAAUGUCAGUAUCUUCAACUUGGGGAAGCCACCAGCAAUAGUACCCAUCGAUGAACAUGUUGUUGUUGCUAUUCCCAGGAAUUCCCGUCCAACAUAUUCCAAUUUAGAUAAACUUACAAUCUCAAGAGUCUCCAGUAGCGGUAGUUUACCCAGCGGCGGCAGCGACAAAAGGCAUUCACAAUAGUAGAGCUCAAUUGAUGUGAGUUGGUUGAGGGGCGACACAAUCCAUCCCGAAAGUCGAGAGCCGUUAUAGCGCCUGAUAGUCAGGUGUUGGAGGUUUGGAUGUGGGUGAAGAGCAUCUAGUACUUCAUUCCAAACCGAUGCUGACGACGAUGAUGAAGAACUAGUAUCUUUCACUUGUUUGCCACGGCCAUCAAUUGUUGUUGUUGAUUCAGAGAAAUAUAUUCCCAGUUCUUGAAUGUGCACCUUUUUCCCCAACUCCGCCUCACGAGCAUCCUCUACUGAAUCACAACAACUGCUUAUUUCAAUCCACAGCUCCACUUUCCCGCUAAGUCGGUUAAAAUUCUUCAACCACCCCACCUUAUUCCCAUCACAAGGAAAGACUUUAUUCAAUGUGACUAGACUCGUUAAUUGGGAUAUUCCUUGUGGAUAUUGUACUAGAGAACGAGUACAUUCACUAUACAAAUGUUUGAGCUUCUUCAGCCUCUCGAUCCCUUGUGGAAGUCCACACAGACUGGAACACCAACUAACAUUCAGGAUUUGUAAUUUACUCAAAUUGCAUAGGCUCUCCGGCAAUUCUCUCAGUCCUGUAUUCCAGCUCAAAUCCAAGUGUAUCAACUGACUCAAAUUCCCAAUCUCCAACGGAAUUUCUUGUAGCUCGCACCAACCAACCCAAAGAAAUUGCAAGUUAUAUAACAAACAAAUGGACUUGAGAUUAUCACCAACAAAUUGAUUAUGACUCAAGUUCAACCACCUCAAGUGAAUCAAUUUUUCUAUUUCUUUCGGAAUGGCUUUCAAUCUUAAAUCGAGCAACCUCACACUUGUCAGACAAUCACAAACAUGUGAAUCAAGAACUUCUUUGCACCGAAAUAAGCUACGAUAUUUUUCGACUUGGGAAACUAACAAAGGGCUACAGUCUUUGCAAGUUGUGUUCUUCAUUCUUGAUCCCACAUUCUUCUUCAGGAAUUCAGCGAAAUCAUGUACAAUGUCAUGCAUCAUAAACGAUUUUAUCUUAUCGCCAUCUUUCUUAAAGUCUUGAAACAGAGAACGCAUUGCUAAAUUAUCAAAGUAGCCUCUUCCUCUAACUUUCCAGUCAUCAUCAGCAUUCGAUCCUAGGUAACCCAUUGCCAUCCAUUUUGUUAUUAGCUCAUCCACAUCAAUUCUGGUACCUUUAGGAAAGACGGCACAAUACGAGAAGCAACGCUUCAAUGUUGGGGACAACUCGUUGUAACUCAGAAGCAAAUGGCGGAAGAGGUCGUCUUCUACUUCCUCCAACUUCCAUAUUUCACUAUUCAACACACUCUCCCACUCUUCCAAUGUAGUCUUGAAACGUAAGAGACUUCCCAAAGUCUUUGCUGCAAGCGGCAAUCCAUUGCACUUCUUGAUUAUCUGCUUACCUGUGUUCUCAAAUUCUUCACAUUGAUCUUUGUUCUUACCACAAAGGGCAAUCCGACCUAACAAUGACCAACAAUGUUCAUCAUUGAGAACUCCUAAACGAUGGAUCAUCCAAUCAUUCUUGAUAAACUCUCCCAUCAUCAUUAUUGCAACCCUUUCGUUUCUAGUUGUCACCAAAAUUUUGCUACCCGUUCCACCACUUUUGAGAGCGUUUUUCAGGGAUUUCCACUUGGUAUCGUCUUCUGUCCAAACAUCAUCCAUAACAAGAAGAAACUUUUUUCCUGAAAUAGACUCUUUUAGACGUUGCAGUAGCAUUUCCAAUUGGUUGGUCCUUGGGGGUUCAUCCAACUUUUCCACACUUGCCACAAUCCCUUUCGCAAUCUCAACCUCGUUAAAGGGAUCUGAAACAGAUAUCCAAAUUUUUAACUCAAAAUAAUUCUCAACUCGACUAUCGUUAUAAGCUAGUUGAGCAAGAGUUGUCUUCCCAAGGCCACCCACACCAACUAUAGAUACAACGCGGAUGCAUCCUAUUAACCCUUCUUCACUACUACCACCUGCACCGACAAGUUUUCUCACCAGAGCUUCUCUCUCUAUGUCGCGGCCAUAAACUUCCUCUUUGUCGAUGGCAGAAGUAGUUUGACCUCGCCAAGAUUCACGAUCAGAUGGAUGUGACGUGAUCUCAUUAAAAUGAAACCGAUCUUUCUCCGCCAAAAUCAGAUCAAGCCGUUCUUUCACUUGUUUUAUUUUCAAGGCAAUUUCACGACGUACAGAAACUUUCUUGAAACAUAAACACAAGCAAGGGAUGCAAAAGCGUACCGUGCACUUAUUAGGAGGAACAACAUCAGCAUCAUCAGCAGCAGCAGCAGACGAUUGUUCGACCUGAAAUUUGAGAAUGGAGUAGUUCCAUUCGUCCAACACGUCAUCCAUUUCGAAGGUCGUGUUUUCGAGCCUCGUCAGCCAAUCUUUGAUGCUUUUUUCCUUAUACCCCUUCUUUUCCGCAUCUUCCAACACGUUUCUGACUGUGUUCAGAUCAACGGAAAGUUUGAGAAUCUCCUUCUUAACUCCUCUCACCAAAUUUACUUCGUCUCGGAUCUUCUCUUCCACGAGAGCUGCAAUGCGCUGCAACACAACGGAAACGAUAGCAUCCGCCAUUAUCGCUCGCCAACAGUUUUUUUUCUUUUCUUUCUAAAUUCUGUGUAUAUUAUUUGGUCUGUGCCUUAAUUCUUCCUUUCUCUGAUGCUAUCAAUCAAUAAUUGACCAGGUGGAGAUAUAUGCAGAAAGAUUAAAAAAAGACUUGAACAACGGACACAGAGUUUGUGAUUGACAUUUCCCAAGUCAACUGUACAGCUGUGAGUGGGUUGUGGCUGAGUCAUGAUGAGUGCGACAAUUAUUUGGUCAAACUCUCAAAAUUUUGUUUGCAUUUUAUUGCUCACAUAUAUUUUCAGUUUUCAAAAUAAGUAAAUCAAUAUUAAUGAAAAAGUAUAUCCUUUUGAGCAAUUAGUUUUUUGCUUAUGAAUGAAUUAAUUCAAGAGUUACAAAAUAUUAUUUGCAAGAAAAUAUAUAUUUUAAUUUCUUAGGCAAUAUAAGAAAAUAGGGUUAAUAGCAUUUUCCCACCUAGACUUUGCCCGUUUUUGCACUUUCCCACCUCAACUAAAAAAAGUUGCACGGCGGCACCCAAACAUUCAUUUUUGAGGCACAUAACCACCUGGAGGGAAUAUUCCGGCGAAUAUUCUCAUUUUUCAACGCACGCGCGAUGCACAUGCGAAAGUACAAGGGUUUUUUCGUCUUUUUACUUGAAAAUAUUAUAAGGGGUGAAAUUGAAAGUACCAGGGACUCAAUUGAACUUAAUUUGAAACUUUCUUUAUAGCAAUAACAAAGUUUCUUCUUUCCACUAGCAAAUGUGCAUUCUGCAUCAAUGCAGCAAAUGAGACGUAAAGUAAUAGCAAUUAACAUUUUCCUAAACAUGAAAUUCUAAUAAUCAAAAGAGUAAAAAGCAGUUUACCCCCUAAACUAUGGGCCGAUUUGCACUUUACCCCCCAAACAAAAAAAAAUUGCACGUUUUUACCUAAACUCGUCAAUUCGUUGCACGGUGCCCCCUGAACUCAAUUUUCCGGCAAUUUUGUCCGAAAAGUUGAAACAUGUGACUUGCACGUGACAUUUGCAGGGGUAUAUUCGUCCAUUCACUUACAUGCUGUAUAUUAAAUAUAAAUUAAACAAAAAAAAAAAAAUAUAUUGAGUCUUCUUCUUCCCUUCGCCCACCGUGCCAUCACCAUCCCAAAAAAUCCAUCAGCCACCGUCCUCCACUCUAUCGCAACCACCGACCACCAAUCCCACCGCAGCAAAUCAUCACUUCCACCUCUAAACUAUUUCCAACUCACCGCCAUUACUUGCCUCGUUUCCUCCAUUUACCGAUCGAGUCUUCGACCAUACAAGUAUAAAACAAAUAUUCCCCAAUUUCUUUUUAAGAAAUCACCAUCACCGGCAAAUCAUCUCCACCUCCACCUUCCCCACCUUGAUUCCACCUCUAAACUAAUUUCAACCCGCCGCCGUCACCUACCUCGUUUCACGGUUCACAACACCGCGCCACAGGCAACUAUUCCUCACUCUGUAUUUUUUUCCCGACGCGCACUCUUCCAACUUUUAUUUUCCUCCAAUUUUAUUUCAUCAUUAAACGAACACGCGAAUUUCACUGAAAUUAAUUUAUUGAAAAUUUGUGCAAUUGCAGAAUUAUCCCAUAUCGAAGCAUUGAUCGUGUUUCCUCUUCUGCAGUUGUAGAUCCGAAUUUUGGAUGCAUCGGAGCGUAUUCAUUACCUUCCCAAUUUUUCUUUUUAAAAAAAUCACCAUCUCCGCCUCUGCUCCUCCGACGUCAAAUAUCCUAACCUCAUCCCCAUCUUCUUUGGAUCUAUGGGCAAAAUAGGAUUUGAAGACAUUUUAUUUGAACCGGAUCUGAGCCGCCGAGGAGAUGUAGUGCACCAAUUAUCGGAGAUGGAUGCUGCUGUUAUUUUUUCGGCGGGGAAUGUUAUCUGGCUCGCCGACGAAGCUAUAUCCGUGAGAGGAGGAGCGGUGGUGGUCAUCGGAGAAUUUUGGAUUUUUUUUAAAUUAGUGUUUCAGAUUUUUUUUUUUGCAGGCAUGAAUUGGAUUUUUGGGAAGAAGAUGGCUGAUGGUCUGAUGGGUUUUUGGGAAGAAGGUGGGUGAUGGUCUGAUGGGGUUUUGGGAAUGAACGUGGGUGAUGGUCUGAUGGAUGAAAGCUUUUUUUUUUCCUUUUUUUUUUUCUUUUUUUUUUUAUUUUCUUUUUUAUUUUCUUUUUUAUUUUAUUUUUUAAUAUUUAUUUGCAUUUAAUAUUAAAGAUGCAAGUGAAUGGGCGAAUUUACCCCUCAAAAUCUCACGUGCAAAGCACAUGUUUUAACAUUCCGGUCAAAAUUGCCGGAAAAUUGAGUUCAGGGGGCACCGUGCAACGAAUUAACGAGUUUAGGUAAAAACGUGCAAAAAAUUUUUGUUUGGGGGGUAAAGUGCAAAUCGGCCCAUAGUUUAGGGGGCAAACUGCUUUUUACUCUAAUCAAAACACUAAAAACUUCAGCUUUGCUUCCGAAUUCAAUCCCAAAGUCACGUAAAAGAAAAAGGGUAAAAAGCGUUUUACCCCCUGGACUUUGGGGUGUUUUGCACGGCGCCCCCCCAGCUUACAAAAUUUGCACGUUUUUACCUGAACUUAGGUAGUUGUUGAACGACGCCCCCCCAGCUUACAAAAUUUGCACGUUUUUACCUGAACUUAGGUAGUUGUUGAACGAUGCCCCCUUAAGUGUCUAUUUUUGAAAAAAAAUAACCGGAAUCUCACACGUGCUUUGCACGUGUGAAUCCAAGGUUUAAUUUGCCUUUUCCUGUACACUUUUACCACUGUUCUACCUUUCCCUUUGUUACCGUUAGGAGAUUCCUAAUAUUCCUCCCUUUAUAAACCAUUAGAAGCCCUUCUGUCCCUUCUCUAUUAUUGCCAUUCAUCUUCUUGAUUUGGUUUCAAUUUCAUAUGGACGCGACGUGCUAUUGUUCGAGAAGACCAGUCAUGAAAACUUCAUGAACUGAUCUGAAUCCAUGAAGAAGAUACACCAACUGCGACAAAUACCGGGUAAAAAAUUCAAUCUUGUUUCUUUUGUUUUAUUUAAUGAAACUGAAACCAAAUCAACAUGAAAUUGGAAGAAGAAGCAACGGCAAAUCAAGAAGAGGAAUGGCAAUAAUAGAGAAGGGACAGAAAAUUAGGGCUUCUAAUGGUUUAUAAAGGGAGGAAUAUUAGGAAUCUCCUAACGGUAACAAAGGGAAAGGUAGAACAGUGGUAAAAGUGUACAGGAAAAAGCAAAUUAAACCUUGGAUUCACACGUGCAAAGCACGUGUGAGAUUCAGGCUAUUUUUUUUCAAAAAUAGACACUUAAGGGGGCGUCGUUCAACAACUAUCGAAGUUCAGGUAAAAACGUGCAAAUUUUGUAAGUUAGGGGGGCGUCGUUCAACAACUACCUAAGUUUAGGUAAAAACGUGCAAAUUUUGUAAGCUGGGGGGGCGCUGUGCAAAACACCCCAAAGUCCAGGGGGUAAAAUGCUUUUUACCCAAAGAAAAAUCCCCAAAUUCAUUUGGCAUCCAAAACACAAAAUUCAAAACACAACCCAACAACAAGCAAAACUUCAAAACAAUUUCGAAUCCAGAAAAUCGAAAAAUCCCAUAGAACACACACGAAAACCCCCAAAUCGCACCAAUCAGAAACCCUAAAAAUAAUAUCCAUCAUCACAAAACCAACAGCUACUGCACCGCGGCCCGUUUCAGAAACGAAAUUUACGAGAAAAAGGAAAUCAAUUGCACAUAAAAACGCAAAAUAAAAUCAGAGGCGAAGGAGAAAAGAAUUGAUUCUCAGCAAAACAAUCAGCGAAAACCAAACCAAACACGUUCGCAUUAACAGAGAUGAUAUAAGAGAGUGGGGAUAUCAGUAUUCAGUACUGAGUGUGUGUUCGUGUAUCUAUAUGUGUAUCUAUACAUACCUGUUUCGCGUAUUUAAUUAUUUUUGCGUCGCGAGGGGUUUUGGGUACAGCCGGAGGAGUUGGACAUUUGGACGAGGUGUUGGUGGAGGAAUUGGUGGAGGAAUUGGUGGUGGAGUUGGAGGUGACAGUGGAGGAAUUGAAGGUGGAGUCGGUGGAGGCUUAGGCGUUAGUAUAGGUGGCAGAUUUGGUUGUGGUGGAGGUGGUGGUGGUGCGGCGGCGGAGCAAAUGUGGUGGUGGUGAUGCGGUGCCGGAGAGAGGAAGAAGACGGAGCAGAAUUUUUCAUAUUGAAUUUUUAGUAAUUUGAUAUGAUAAUUUCAGGUGGUGGUACGGCGGUGGAGAGAGAUGUUGGUGGCGGUGAUGUGAAAUAUCCUGAUUCCCCUAUUUUGCAGCAAGAGGGAGACGAAGAAGAUGAUGGGUGGAAGUUGUGAAAGUUUCAAAUUAAGUUCAAUUGAGUCCCUGGUACUUUCAAUUUCACCCCUUAUAAUAUUUUCAAGUAAAAAGACGAAAAAACCCUUGUACUUUCGCAUGUGCAUCGCGCGUGCGUUGAAAAAUGAGAAUAUUCGCCGGAAUAUUCCCUCCAGGUGGUUAUGUGCCUCAAAAAUGAAUGUUUGGGUGCCGCCGUGCAACUUUUUUUAGUUGAGGUGGGAAAGUGCAAAAACGGGCAAAGUCUAGGUGGGAAAAUGCUAUUAACCCAAGAAAAUAUAUCACCGUUUAAGUCUCCAUUAAUAUAUGGGGGCAACUAUUUCAAAUACUAAAUUUUGCUUACUUGAAUACUACCAAGUUUAAAACCAAAAUUGAGUACAUAUUUAUCAGUUUUUUCUUACUUUAAUACCAAAAUAAAAGGAAAAUUACAAAAACACCCUUUCAUACAAAAUAUCAAUUAUAUCAAAUUUUAUUAGAAAUUACCUAUUCAAAAACCAAAUAAAAAAAAAAAGAAAAAAAACCAUUUGUUGUAAAAAAAAACCUCCACCAUUUCUUCUCCUCUCCAACCCUCACCGCCGACGCUGCCGACGCCGCCGCCGCCGAACGCCACCGUACGUGCUCGUAACUGCCGCGACAACCCAAUUAAACCCUAUCUUUUUCAUCUUCUUAAAUCCUCCAAAACAUCUCCAAAUUCAAAAAAUCAAAACCUCACAAAACUUAUAAAAUGGAGUUAUAAGACAAUAAUAUGGUAGUAUAUGUGGAAAGAGAAGCCAUUAAGGUAAGUAUCGAUGUCUUUUUUGAGCUUCGAAAUCGAUUUUGAAGUUUUUUUUUUUGAACCCGUCGGCAAUUUUCGACACAUACAGUNNNNNNNNNNNNNNNNNNNNNNNNNNNNNNNNNNNNNNNNNNNNNNNNNNNNNNNNNNNNNNNNNNNNNNNNNNNNNNNNNNNNNNNNNNNNNNNNNNNNCUUUUAGGAGAGCGGUGAUUUUAAUUUCUUUAGGUUUGAAAAUUUUUAAGAAGGGUUUGUUGUGAGAUUUUUUAGAAAGGGUUUGUUGUGAGGGAAGAUUUUUUUAGAAGGGUUUUUUUGGGAAGGGAGAAAGAAAGAGGAUGGAGGAAGGUGAGGGGGUUUGUGAGUAAGGAGGGAAAUGGUUUUUUUGAGUUUUUGAUUAUUUGGUAUUUAAGAAAGAAAAAUAGUAUUUGUGAUAUUUUUUUUGGUUUUAAUUUCAUUAAGGGUAUUAAAGUAAUUUACAAUUAAUUAUUUAUUUUUUAUUUUUUUGGUAUUCAAGUAAGCAAAAGUUGAGAUUUGAAAUAGUGAUCCCCUUAAUAUAUAGGUAGAUGCUUGUCUUUAUAGGUUCAGUUUCAAAUUGUAAUAUAAAUAAAAAAAAGGGUAAAUAGCAUUAAACCACCUAAACUUUUUACGUUUUUGCGGAUCACCACCUGAACAAUUUUUUUUUGCAAGAGUUCACCUGUACUCAAUUAAUUGUGCCACUUUGCCGUUUUUUGCCCGUUUUCAGGUCAUAAUGACCGGUUCUGGACACACGCGCGUUGCACAUGCGAAAUCCAAGGGUAUUGUUGGCUUUUUCAUUUUUAAAAUUGAAUAAAUGUUAAUUUUCAUUUAUUUAUUUUAUUUUAUGUUUCUUUUUUGAAAUGAAAUUUUCUUAAAUAGAAUAAGUAAAAAAAGAAAAAGAAAAACGUCAUCUUGUUCCCAGCAACUCAGCCCUGUAUUUUGAACUCAUGGCCCAAAAAAUCCGAACAAACCACCGACAUAAUUACUUUCUCGCCUCUGCAAUUCCAAGGAUGACCACUGCCGUCGCACCAAUCUCACCACCCACUGCCCACCGGCGCACACCCGAUCUCACGGCCGAGCGCCGCUCACCGCCGCCGUGGCAUGGGGCGGCCUCAAUUGUGAGAAGAUCCUAUAAUCCUCCAUUCGUUGGAAGAAGAUCUAGUCGUUCGGAGGAAGAAAUCGAAAGAAAAUAGUGUUCAUAUAACUUGAAUUGGGGAAAGGGGGAAAUUAAAUGAACAUUUUGGACCUAAUUUUAGGUCCAAUUUCAGUCAUGAUGGCGGCGGAUCUGAAGAAGAUGUGGUGGUGGUGGUGAGCUUGGUGGUUGUGCAAGAGGCUGGUUACUCGGGGUGAGUGGCUGCAACAUGAGAGAAAUGGUUGAUGAAAAUUGUGAGUUAGAUGAGUAGGGUGGGGGGGUUGGAUAUGGUCUGCCGCCGCCAACGCCGUUGGCCUUGAUGAGUUCAUCUAUGUGAAAUUACGGCUGAUUGCCGGCGGGUAAACGGCGACGUUUUUCUUUUUGUUGGUCUGAUGAUGGUGAUGAUUAGGGAAAAAUAAAGUAGCAGCAGUACAGUAUAUGUGGUGUUGUGGUGGAUCUUCUUCUGGGAUUGGGAACAAGACGAAGACCCUUUUGUUUUUUUUUUUUUUUAAUAAUUAUUCUAUUUUACAUUUAUUCAAUUUUAAAAAUGAAAAAGCCAACAAUACCCUUUGAUUUCGCAUGUGCAACGCGCGUGUGUCCAGAACCGGUUAUUAUGACCUGAAAACGGGCAAAAAACGGCAAAGUGGCACAAUUAAUUGAGUACAGGUGAACUCUUGCAAAAAAAAUUGUUCAGGUGGUGAUCCGCAAAAACGUAAAAAGUUUAGGUGGUUUAAUGCUAUUUACCCUAAAAAAAAUGUUCCACCAAGUAGAAAUAGAAGCAAGAAAUCAGCAGCCAACUUACUGUUAAAACUUCAAUUUGCAUCAAACAUAAUAGGAUAUUAUAAUACAUCAGACGAAGAGUUGGUCUUAAAAUCACUAGUAAUCGUCCAAUUAUAUUCAUCGUUACCCGUCGAAAAAACCACCGAUUCUCCUCUACGGAACGAAUAAUUUUCUUCUACCAAUUUUGCCCCGACAUUCGAUCCCAUUCGAGCCAUUCUCACACUCUCCAAUUCCACACCAACUUCUUUCAUAUACGGACGUUUCUUACCGUUCAAAUCCAAACAUCUUUCCGCAAGUUUUGCUACAGCAAGAACACCUCCACUUUCACCUCUCAACACUUGAUCAUCAAGAAUCGAAUCAAGGGCAUUUUCGUCCAUUAAAGAAAAAAAAAACGCCUCCGAAUAUCAGUCGUGGAAGUUGUCAUUGUAGGCCUCAACAAGAACAACCCCAAAACUAUAAACAUAUACAUCACUCUUUUUCGUAAUAAACUAGAUGGACUGAAAAAUACUCCGGAUCAAUAUAUCUGAACUGAAAGCGCCGUUCACAUUCGUAGUUACCUGUGUUAUUGUUGAAUAUAUUGCGAAAAUAUGUGAACAAGAUUAACAAGGAAAUAAUCGAGGAGUAUGUGUCUCUAACAUAUUUUACUCUUGCUAAUACAUGUUGAAUUAUAAGUACAAACUCAAGACCUAGUUAUACUAGUUUAAGCAUAUGCAGUACAUGCAUCGUAUUAAAUGUAUUCAUUAUAAAUCCUAGAUAUACAUGUAUCUUAUAAUUCAUGUAUAUAUCCUAUACAUUGUACAUGCAUUUGGAUAAUAUAGAAAGUGCAUUAUUUAUUUCAACAUUUAUAUCAGAAAGGCCAAAAAAAUAAAACCCGAGAAAAAUUAAGUGACCAAAACCCCUAUGUAAUCAGUUCAAGCAAGUACACUCGUGACUCGACACUUUUUAUUUUCAUCUGUUGACUGUUUGUAAAAAGACGAAAAAACUCUCCACAAAAAUAGAAAUCCAAUUGGAAAUACCCAAUGGAUCAAUACCCUCUAAAUUAGAAUCUUUGAAAAUUAUAGAUUCAACCCAGAACUUUUGUUUGUCCUAAAAUGAAGUUUUUGAAAUUUUCAAUUCAGUCCCUCAUAUUUUAUAUUUUAAACUAAUAAAAUAUAUAGGGUAAAUAGCAUUAAACCACCUAAACUUUUUAAGUUUUUGCGGAUCACCACCUGAACAAUUUUUUUUUGCACGAGUUCACCCGUACUUAAUAAAUUGUGCCACUUUGCCCAUUUUUGCCGGUUUUCAGGUCAAAAUGACCUGUUCUCAACUCAUGUGCGUUGCACAUGACAAAUCCAAGGGUAUUGACGUAUUUUCCAUUUUAAAAAUGGAAUAAAUGUUAAAUAGAAUAAAUAAACUAUUUUCUCUCGAUUCAGAUUUUUUGUUGGCCCUCUUUCAUGUUUUUCAAUUUCUUCGAGAAAAAUCCCACAACUAUUCGAACAUUACUUACCAAAUCACGAUUUUGUUCAAUACAUACAGGACUAUCGCAAUUUUGGGAUGAUUCAAGCUCGAUUUGAUGUGAAUUGCUCGCGAUUUCGACUGGGUAGCGUUGUUUUUUUGGCGAUUUAGGCACAAUUCUGGCCGAAUUUGGUGUGUUCAUGUUCGAUUUAGGUCGGGGUUUGUGUGAUGUAGACUGGGUUUCGCUAUUUAGAACUUGAAUGUUGAAGCUUGAAUCUAGAUUUGUUUUGAAAUGCUAAUUGUUAACCGAUUUGUUAUCACUGGGUGUUAUAUUUGUUAUAUUUCAAAUGUCUAUGUGUAUGGAAAUGUGGUUACUCACGCAAUUCAUAAUCUCUGUUGCUGAUUGUAAUUUGAUGUUGUCUGUUUCGGGCUACAAUGUCCGCCACCCAAGACAAAACAGUCUCGGCCCUGGUGGUGUCGGGAUGCAUAAUCACUUUUCCGGACAAAACCCAUCUCAGAAAUCCGAAAUGUCGAAGCAAUCACCAGGAAGCAGAUUCAAAAAUCGUAUUUACGGAAAUUGGGUUAUAGGAACACUAUUUUCUCUCGAUUUAUUCCUCCGAAUCAACUAGAUCAUCUUCCAACGAAUGGAGGAUUAGAUGAUCUUCUCACAAUUGAGGCCGCGGCGGAAGUGCGCGGCGCUUGGCGGUGAGAUCGGGUAUGAAAUCCUCUGCUUUUGCAACAAACACACUACCACUCCGAAAUGAUAAAACCACCACCAGUUGCACGAAAAUUCGCCCCCCCAUUUCACCAAGAUCAUCCCACUUCAAUUCAAAUGCAAAAUAAAAUUAAUUUUUUUUUAUUAAAAUCAACAGAUCUGAAGUGGGAUUCAAUCAAAGAAUCAAAUAUUCGAUGAAAAAAAGUGAAAUACAAACGUACCAAGUUAAUUCAUACCGAUUAAAUUAGUUAAAAACAGGAAUGAAUGUGUUGUGUGUGUGUGUGUGUGUGUGUGUAUGUGAGAGAAUCUUUCUUCAAAACUUGUGUUCUGCAACUGCAAGUGGGUUGUAUCCCCUGCAUAUGUAUGUAUAAUGUAUGUAUAUAUAAAAUUGAUUAAUUAAAUAAAAUAAAACUGACAUGUUUUUUUUUCUUUUAAUUAUUCUAUUUUAUAUUUAUUCCAUUUAUCCUAAAAAAACAUUUAUUUCAUUUUAAAAAUGGAAAAGACAUCAAUACCCUUGGAUUUGUCAUGUGCAACGCACAUGAGUUGAGAACAGGUCAUUUUGACCUGAAAACCGGCAAAAAAUGGCAAAGUGACACAAUUUAUUAAGUACGGGUGAACUCAUGCAAAAAAAAAUUGUUCAGGUGGUGAUCCGCAAAAACUGAAAAAGUUUAGGUGGUUUAAUGCUAUUUACCCAAAUAUAUAUUAAACAUAAGUAAUAUAAUAAGAAAAUUUGAAAAGAAAAAAAAAAAGAUGAGUGCAAAUUCACAGCUGGAAUUUCGACAGCGAUGGAUCGGGAGUUUUUGACAGGGGUCAAUUGGUGACGAGGAUGACGAGAAAGAAGAAAAAAAAAAAGGAGAGAAAAACACACAGUAAUCAUACAUUCCAAUUGCAGAGAUUCAGAGGGGCAAUUUUGUCCUUUCACACAAAAAUUGUACAAAAAUACAAGCAGUCAGACAAACUGGGAGUGAAUAUAAGAGCAGCACAGGUCAAAUAAAAUUGUUUUCUUAACCGCAGUGCUCCACCACCCUCAUGCCAACAACCACCGUGCUCCACCACUUGUAUUGCCGGUGACUUUUGGGAAUUGAAAAUUCACUCCUCCCACUAAAUGAUUAAAUGUACAGCCGGUGUGCCUCAACCAAGAGAUUCGACGUCGGAGAUUCUCUUCAUAAGGAAUUUCCAUAUGACUUAUUUUUAGUCAAAUUAAUUGAUCUUCAUUAAUUAAUAUUUUAAUGUAAUUAUUAUUUUAAGAACUGCAGGUUUCGAGUACAAGAAUGAUUUAGUAAUAUUUUAGGAUUAGGGUAGUUAGUUUUGUUGAAAGUGUUGGAUUGUCCUGAAAUAGUAGAAUGUUGUUUUUAUAAUGCAUUUUCUAAACAGUAGAAAUGAAGCAUGAAAUUACAGUUGACAGUACAGACAGGUAUGGGAAAACAAUUGAUAUGAAUUAAUGUAGUAGAAAAUGAAAAAUGGAAGUUGAAUGACGUAAAACUACUAAUCUCAAGGGUAGAGACGAAGGUGUGGAUUGUGGUUGGAAAUGGAUUUCCAGGGUUGACCCUCCUUGUCCCCGUAGACUUGUUUCAGUUGUGUUGAACCAGCAAUAGUCAACCACUUCAACGAUGGCGACACCUUUUGCAGGAGUCGUUGCGGCAGAUCCGUCAAUCUGCUGCAGUCAUAGAUCGUCAACUCCGUGAGGCAAGGCAUUAUUGAGAUAGCAACAUUAUCUUCUUCUUCCACCGUAAUGUCUUCCCACUCCGUCCAGUUUGGACACCUCCGAAAUGACAGUUUUUUUAACUUGGGGAAGCCACCAGCAAUAGUACCCAUCGAUGAACAUGUUGCUAUUCCCAGGAAUUCCCGUCCAACAUAUUUCAAUUUAGAUAAACCAAUAAUCGAAAGACGCUCAAGUAGCGGUAGUUUACCCAGCGGCGGCAGCGACGGAAGGCCUUCACAAUAGUCGAGACCAACAUUUAUGAGUUGGUUGAGGGGGGACGUGAUCCAUCGUGGAAGUUGAGAGCCUUCAUAGUAAUAAAUAAUCAGCUCUCGGAGGUUUGGAAGUGGCUCAAGAGCAUCUACCAGUUUGGAACCAUAAAUACACAACACCUUCAACGAUGGUGACACCUUUCGCAGGAGUCGUUGCGGCAGCUCCGUCAAUCUGCUGCAGUCACGGAUCGUCAACUCCGUGAGGCAAGGCAUUAUUGAGAUAGCAACAUUAUCUUCUUCCACCGUAAUGUCUUCCCACUUCUUCCAGUUAUUACAUGCCCUAAAUUUCAGGUACUUCAACUUGGGGAAGCCACCAUCAAUAGUACCCAUCGAUGAUGAACAUGUUGCUAUUCCCAGGAAUUCCCAUCCAACAUAUUCCAAUUCAGGUAAACCACUAAUCCCAAGAGUCUCCAGUAGCGGUAGUUUACCCAGCGGCGGCAGCGACACAAGGAAUUCACAAUUGUCCAGCUCAAUAGAUGUGAGUUGGUUGAGGGGGGACACAAUCCAUCCCGGAAGUCGGGAGCCGUAAUAGCCCACAAUAGUCAGUUGUUGGAGGUUUGGAUGUGGGUGAAGAGCAUCUAGUACUUCAUUAGAAACCGAUGUUGACGACGAUGAUGAACUAGUAUCUUUCACCUGUUUGCCACGGCCAUCCGUUGUUGUUGUUGAUCCAUAGAAAUUUAUUGUCAGUUCUUGAAUGUGCAUCUUUUUCCCCAACUCCACCUCACGAGCAUCCUCUACUGAAUCACAACAACUGCUUAUUACAAUCCACAUCUCCAGUUUCCCGCUAAGUCGGUUUAAAUUCUUCAACCACCCCACCUUAUUCCCAUCACAAGGAAAGACUUUAUUCAAUGUGACUAGACUCGUUAAUUCGGCUAUUCCUUGUGGAUAUUGCUUCAGAGAAUCAGUACGUUCAUUAUACAAAUGUUUGAGCUUCUUCAGCCUGUGGAUCCCUUGUGGAAGUCCACACAGACUACAACACGAACUAACAUUCAGGAUUUCUAAUUUACUCAAAUUGCAUAGGCUCUCCGGCAACUCUUUCAGUUGUGUAUUGUCACUCAAAUCCAAGUGUAUCAACUCACUCAAAUUCCCAAUCUCCAACGGAAUUUCUUGUAGCCCGCACCAGCCCACCCAAAGAAAUUGCAAGUUAUACAACUUACAAAUGGACUUCAGAUCAUCACCAACAAGUUUAUUAUGACUCAAGUUCAACCACCUCAAGUGAAUCAAUUUUUCUAUUUCUUUCGGAAUGCCUUUCAAACCACAACUUCUUAAUUUGAGCAACCUCACACUUGCCAGGCAAUCACAAACAUGUGGAUCAAGAACUUCUUUGCACUGACAUAAGCUACGAUAUUUUUCGACUCGGGAAACUAACAAAUGGCUACAGUCUUUGCAAGUUGUGUUCUUCAUUCUUGAUCCCACAUUCUUCCUCAGGAAUUCAGCGAAAUCAUGUACAAUGUCAUGCAUCAUAAACGAUUUUAUCUUUAUAUCGUCAUCUUUCAUAUAAAAGUCUUGAAACAGAGAACGCAUUGAUAAAUAAUCAAAGUACCCUCUCCCUCUAACUUUCCAGUCAUCAUCAGCAUUCGAUCCUAAAUAACCCAUUGCCAUCCAUCUUGUUAUUAGCUCAUCCACAUCAAUUCUGGUAUCUUUAGGAAAGACGGCACAAUACGAGAAGCAACGCUUCAAUGUUGGGGACAACUCGUCGUAACUAAGAAACAAAUGGCGGAAGAGGUCAUCUUCUACUUGCUCCAACUUCCAUAUUUCACUAUUCAACACGCUCUCCCACUCUUC
rnacentral:lncRNA from 1 species